CCUUCGUCAAGCACUGCGCCAGGGCCAACUAUCAGGCUGCUGUGUGGCGCCUUUGUCUUGCUGCAAUACCAGACAUACCUGCUCCACACGAGAAUAAUCAAGGCUGGUGUCUGAAUAGCGAUGGCAAUCUUGCCGUUUCUUGGUUGAGCCUACCCCCAGCGCCCCGAGCACUCCUUGAGUUCCUCAGCUGUGGCUGCAAGACAGGCUGUAGCAGUGGGAACUGCUCAUGCCGGCGCCAUACUUUGAAAUGCACAGAUGCCUGCCAGUGUCGCCACAACUCGGCAGGAGUUGCCUGCACCAACUGCCCAACUCUGGACACGGUUCAGGAAGACGUUGCUUCAUCUCUGGAAGCAGAUGACACACUGCAAGCUGUGCAGUGAAACACUUCUUCGCUGGUCGC